UACAGGGGGGGCAAGCGUUGUUCGGAAUUACUGGGCGUAAAGGGUCUGUAGGUGGCCAACUAAGUCAGACGUGAAAUCCCUCAGCUUAACUGGGGAACUGCGUCUGAUACUGGAUGGCUUGAGUGUGGGAGAGGAAUGCGGAAUUCCAGGUGUAGCGGUGAAAUGCGUAGAUAUCUGGAGGAACACCGGUGGCGAAGGCGGCAUCCUGGACCAACACUGACGCUGAGUGAGCGAAAGCCAGGGGAGCAAACGGG
rnacentral:rRNA from 1 species